rnacentral:rRNA from 1 species
UAAGGAAUAUUGCUCAAUGGGAGAAAUCCUGAAGCAGCAACGCCGCGUGGAGGAUGAAGGGUCUAUGACUUGUAAACUCCUGUAAAGAAGGAAAAAAUUCCCAUUUGAUGGGAGAUGAUGGUACUUCUGGAGUAAGCCCCGGCUAACUACGUGCCAGCAGCCGCGGUAAUACGUAGGGGGCAAGCGUUGUCCGGAUUUACUGGGUGUAAAGGGUGCUCAGGCGGAUUUGUAAGUCAGAGGUGAAAUCUUACAGCUUAACUGUGAAACUGCCUUUGAUACUGCAAGCCUAGAGUAUGGAAGAGAGUGAUGGAAUAUCUGGUGUAGCAGUGAAAUGCGUAGAUAUCAGAUAGAACACCGAUGACGAAGGCAGUCACUUGGUCCAUUACUGACGCUAAAGCACGAAAGCGUGGGUAGCAUACA